ACUUUCCAGCCCAGGCCAGCAUCAGUUCGCUGUGGGGGAUAAAGGCUUUGGGAAUGUGGCUCCUCCGGGAGUGUUAUAGCCCAUUGUGUAAUACCCUGUGGUGGACUGAGGUUCGCGCAUCUGCAAGGAUGCUGGCGUAAUGGUCAUCAGCGACCCGUCUUGAAACACGG
rnacentral:rRNA from 1 species